GAUGAACGCUGGUGGCGUGCCUAACACAUGCAAGUCGAGCGAUUCUCUUCGGAGAAGAGCGGCGGACGGGUGAGUAACGCGUGGGUAACCUGCCCUGUACACACGGAUAACAUACCGAAAGGUAUGCUAAUACGAGAUAACAUGCUUUUAUCGCAUGGUAGAAGUAUCAAAGCUUUUGCGGUACAGGAUGGACCCGCGUCUGAUUAGCUAGUUGGUGAGGUAACGGCUCACCAAGGCGACGAUCAGUAGCCGACCUGAGAGGGUGAUCGGCCACAUUGGAACUGAGACACGGUCCAAACUCCUACGGGAGGCAGCAGUGGGGAAUAUUGCACAAUGGGCGAAAGCCUGAUGCAGCAACGCCGCGUGAGCGAUGAAGGCCUUCGGGUCGUAAAGCUCUGUCCUCAAGGAAGAUAAUGAUGGUACUUGAGGAGGAAGCCCCGGCUAACUACGUG
rnacentral:rRNA from 1 species